CCCGCCCCCUCCCCACCAAGCCUUCCUUCCAAAUUGUCGCAGUGUCUGGUGGUCCCAGCCCCUCCCCUACUCACAUCCACCCUAUCAAUUUCACAGAGCCUCCAAGUCCCGCCCUUUAUCCUAACACGCCCCCCUCCAAACGGCAAAACCCAAAUUGGUUUGGCUCCUUCCCUGUAACACCCCCUCCUCAACUCAGGACUGAACUAGUGAUUCCAUCUUGGGCCCAGCCAAACGGGGUCCAGUCCCCUCCCUUCCUAGCUGGAUGGAUUCGGAAAGUGCACCCAGGAGGAAGGAAUGCAUCAAACUGGAAGAUACUGAACCCAGAAAUGAGCCCCAGAGUCAUGGAAGAUCUCAUUUUUAGGAUACAGAAGCUCUGCCCUGGAUAAAGACAGAGAAGACUACAGUUACACUUAAGGACAGCAUCGCAGUAUUAGAUGCUGUUCUGGGAGCUGAAGACAUAACUGUGGAGAAGACAGAAAGCAAUGCCUGAUUCCCAUGGAGUUGAUUCUAGUAAGGGGAAGAGAGGAAACAAUUGGAUAAAGAAGUAAGAUCUGUAACAACUUAAAUAAAGUGCUAUGGAG
rnacentral:lncRNA from 1 species